GCCUAAUACUGCAGUCGAGCGGACAGAUGGGAGCUUGCUCCCUGCAACUUAGCGGCGGACGGGUGAGUAACACGUGGGUAACCUGCCUGUAAGACUGGGAUAACUCCGGGAAACCGGGGCUAAUACCGGAUGGUUGUUUGAACCGCAUGGUUCAAACAUAAAAGGUGGCUUCGGCUACCACUUACAGAUGGACCCGCGGCGCAUUAGCUAGUUGGUGAGGUAACGGCUCACCAAGGCAACGAUGCGUAGCCGACCUGAGAGGGUGAUCGGCCACACUGGGACUGAGACACGGCCCAGACUCCUACGGGAGGCAGCAGUAGGGAAUCUUCCGCAAUGGACGAAAGUCUGACGGAGCAACGCCGCGUGAGUGAUGAAGGUUUUCGGAUCGUAAAGCUCUGUUGUUAGGGAAGAACAAGUACCGUUCGAAUAGGGCGGUACCUUGACGGUACCUAACCAGAAAGCCACGGCUAACUACGUGCCAG
rnacentral:rRNA from 1 species